GUGGGGAAUUUUGGACAAUGGGCGCAAGCCUGAUCCAGCAAUGCCGCGUGCAGGAAGAAGGCCUUCGGGUUGUAAACUGCUUUUGUACGGAACGAAACGGUCCGGGUUAAUACCCUGGGCUAAUGACGGUACCGUAAGAAUAAGCACCGGCUAACUACGUGCCAGCAGCCGCGGUAAUACGUAGGGUACAAGCGUUAAUCGGAAUUACUGGGCGUAAAGCGUGCGCAGGCGGUUUUGUAAGACAGGCGUGAAAUCUCCGGGCUCAACCUGGGAAUUGCGCUUGGGACUGCAAGGAUGGAGUGCGGCAGAGGGGGAUGGAAUUCCGCGUGUAGCAGUGAAAUGCGUAGAUAUGCGGAGGAACACCGAUGGCGAAGGCAAUCCCCUGGGCCUGCACUGACGCUCAUGCACGGAAGCGUGGGGAGCAAACAGGAUUAGAUACCCUGGUAGUCC
rnacentral:rRNA from 1 species